GAUGAACGCUGGCGGCGUGCCUAAUACAUGCAAGUCGAGCGAACAGACGAGGAGCUUGCUCCUCUGACGUUAGCGGCGGACGGGUGAGUAACACGUGGAUAACCUACCUAUAAGACUGGGAUAACUUCGGGAAACCGGAGCUAAUACCGGAUAAUAUAUUGAACCGCAUGGUUCAAUAGUGAAAGACGGUUUUGCUGUCACUUAUAGAUGGAUCCGCGCCGCAUUAGCUAGUUGGUAAGGUAACGGCUUACCAAGGCAACGAUGCGUAGCCGACCUGAGAGGGGGAUCGGCCAACAUGAAACUGAGAAACGGUCCAGACCCCUACGGGGGGCAGAAGGAGGAAUUCUUCCGAAAGGGGGGAAAGCCUGACGGAGCAACGCCGGGGGAGGAAUGAGGGUCUUCGGAUCGUAAAACUCUGUUAUUAGGGAAAAAAAAAUUUGUAAGUAACAAUGCAGGUUUGGAGGGUACCAAAUAAAAAAGCCAGGGCUAACUACGG
rnacentral:rRNA from 1 species